rnacentral:rRNA from 1 species
CCUACGGGAGGCAGCAGUGGGGAAUAUUGGGCAAUGGGCGCACGCCUGACCCAGCAACGCCGCGUGAAGGAAGACGGCUUUCGGGUUGUAAACUUCUUUUAGGCGGGAAGAGCAGAAGACGGUACCUCUUGAAUAAGCGACGGCUAACUAAGUGCCAGCAGCCGCGGUAAAACGUAGGUGGCAAGCGUUGUCCGGAUUUACUGGGGGUAAAGGGCGUGCAGCCGGGAAGACAAGUCAGAUGUGAAAUCCCGCGGCUCAACCGCGGAACUGCAUUUGAAACUGUUUUUCUUGAGUACCGGAGAGGUAAGCGGAAUGCCUGGUGUAGCGGUGAAAUGCGUAGAUAUAAGGAAGAACACCAGUGGCGAAGGCGGAUGACUGGACGGCAACUGACGGUGAGGCGCGAAAGCGUGGGGAGCAAACAGGAUUAGAUACCCGUGUAGUC